CCUACGGGUGGCAGCAGUGAGGAAUAUUGGUCAAUGGACGAGAGUCUGAACCAGCCAAGUAGCGUGAAGGAUGACUGCCCUAUGGGUUGUAAACUUCUUUUAUAUGGGAAUAAAAUGUUCCACGUGUGGGAUUUUGUAUGUACCAUAUGAAUAAGGAUCGGCUACCUCCUUGCAAGCAGCCGCGGUAAUCCGGAGGAUACGAGCGUUAUCCGGAUUUAUUGGGUUUAAAGGGAGCGUAGGUGGAUGGUUAAGUCAGUUGUGAAAGUUUGCGGCUCAACCGUAAAAUUGCAGUUGAAACUGGCAGUCUUGAGGACAGUAGAGGUGGGCGGAAUGCGUGGUGUAGCGGUGAAAGGCUUAGAUAUCACGAAGAACUCCGAUUGCGAAGGCAGCUCACUGGACUGCAACUGACACUGAGGCUCGAAAGUGUGGGUAUCAAACAGGAUUAGAUACCCGAGUAGUC
rnacentral:rRNA from 1 species